UACGGAGGGGGCUAGCGUUGUUCGGAAUUACUGGGCGUAAAGCGCACGUAGGCGGCUUUGCAAGUUAGAGGUGAAAGCCCGGGGCUCAACUCCGGAAUUGCCUUUAAAACUGCAUCGCUAGAAUUGUGGAGAGGUAAGUGGAAUUCCGAGUGUAGCGGUGAAAUGCGUAGAUAUCGGGAGGAACACCUGUGGCGAAAGCGGCUCACUGGACCGCAACUGACGCUGAGGCGCGAAAGCUAGGGGAGCAAACAGG
rnacentral:rRNA from 1 species